AUUGAACGCUGGCGGCAGGCCUAACACAUGCAAGUCGAGCGGUUGAGGUAGCUUGCUACCGAUGCAGCGGCGGACGGGUGAGUAAUACAUGGGAAUCUACCUGGUAGUGGGGGACAACGUUUCGAAAGGAACGCUAAUACCGCAUACGCCCUACGGGGGAAAGGGGGGGAUCUUCGGACCUCUCGCUAUCAGAUGAGCCC
rnacentral:rRNA from 1 species